GAACGGUACAGGUUAAGCUGACGAGUGGCGAACGGGUGAGUAAUAUAUCGGAACGUGCCCAGUAGUGGGGGAUAGCCCUGGCGAAAGCCGGAUUAAUACCUGCAUACGACCUACGGGUGAAAGCGGGGGAUCGCAAGACCUCGCGCUAUUGGAGCGGCCGAUAUCAGAUUAGCUAGUUGGUGGGGUAAAAGCUCACCAAGGCGACGAUCUGUAGCUGGUCUGAGAGGACGACCAGCCACACUGGGACUUGAGACACGGCCCAGACUCCUACGGGAGGCAGCAGUGGGGAAUUUUGGACAAUGGACGCAAGUCUGAUCCAGCCAUGCCGCGUGCGGGAAGAAGGCCUUCGGGUUGUAAACCGCUUUUGUCAGGGGAAGAAAAGCUCCGAACUAAUAUUUUGGGGUGAUGACGGUACCUGAAGAAUAAGCACCGGCUAACUACGUGCCAGCAGCCGCGGUAAUACGUAGGGUGCAAGCGUUAAUCGGAAUUACUGGGCGUAAAGCGUGCGCAGGCGGGUCCUAUAAGAUAGAUGUGAAAUCCCCGGGCUCAACCUGGGACUGCAUUGUGACUGUAAAGCUGGAGUGCCGGCAAAGGGGGGAUGGGAAUUUCCCGCGUGUACCAGUUGAAAUUGCGUAAAAUUGCGGAGGACACACCGGAUUGGCGAAAGGGAAUUCCCCUGGGGC
rnacentral:rRNA from 1 species